rnacentral:tRNA from 2 species
UGGGGUAUCGCCAAGCGGUAAGGCACCGGAUUCUGAUUCCGGCAUUCCGAGGUUCGAAUCCUCGUA